GAGUCAGUUUUAUAUUUCUCUUUACAUUUUGAGACAGUGAAUUAAUAGACAAUAAAUAACUGCAAAGUAAAAAAUACAUUUUCUAAAUGUACUAAAAUUCCAAAAAGAGACGCUGGAAAGAUCACCCGAGGUUUAGAAGAAAUCGAAACUCGUUACAAACCGAAUACUUUUAAAACGAAAGUAAGGUUUUAAAAGAUAUUCAAUCUACGUAAGAGGAAAAAAACUCCCGACACUUAGACUGCUGUAGUAGAGGAAAUUUAAGCCAUUUCAACAUUUCUGCUGUCAUCGAUCAAGAAAUUGUGCAAUAAUAGUGUUUCUGCAAAAAGCUGUAAAUAUCAACCAAAUUGUGACAGGUGUAAUUGCUUUACAAGUUUUCAUUCAACGUAAACGUCAAGCAUCAACAGAAGAUCAAGGAGAGGAUUUUUUGUGGGAACUGAUUAGUCAAGAAGAGAUUUCGGGAGUAAUAAAGAAAACAUUAGGCCUUGUUUUUUACAUUGUGAACAUCAUUGAAGAAGAAGAAAAAUUACGUUCAGUUGUCAGAUAACUCUGGUGUUCAGAUUUCUCGACAAUUAUACUCUGGAAAUGGUGUGCUACUUGCGACGGACAGCUCCAUAAAAAGUGUAUCAAUGUUAAGAACUACAUCUGGUGAGAGCAAUUGAAUCUUUCGUGUUUGGGACGUCUUAAAAUGUUCAACGGUCUAAAUAUCAAUCUACCCUAGUCAUAUAGACUUGUAGUUAUGUGCGAUUCGAAAAAUCUUCCUUUAUUCCCAUUGUGCGUAUUUCGCAUGUGACGAAUGGAUAAAACGGUGUUGAUAAGAGGGUUCCGUCUACGCAGAAAAUAUAAGUGUGCUCUGGAUUUUGACAGUAAGGAAAAGGAGGAUUAUUGGUGAGAAAAAAUUUAUAUUCUUCAUAACAUUAUUUCUAUCUUCUGUUAGUUCAUUCCUGACAGUAACGGAUAUUCAACGAUAUCCUACGGAAGUCUUAGUCACAUCCGGAAAUUUGAAUAUCCCUACGAUGCCUUUAAGAUAUCUCAGGACAUCCCUGAGACAUCCUAUGGAUAUAAUAGUUUCCUGAUAUCCUUAUGAUAUCCGUAGGAUAUCCAGAAUAUUCAGAUGCUGUUAAUAAUUAUUUUUCUUUCUACUUCACCCUCUCCAUUUCUCUCGUACAUUCUACAUAAUUUUCAAAACAUUAUUUAGGUUGUUUAAUCAAAGUUAUAAAUUAAAACAUAUAUUACUUCACUAGAAGAUUUUUUAAUUCAAGUGCAAUUGCACGUGACCUUAAUAAAUUAUCACAUGGGUAAAAAAGAGCUGUAAAUCUUGCCACGCUAUUAGAAAAACAUCCAGAUAAAUCUUUUGUAUGUGUUUAAAUCAAAUGUCUAUGAUAAGUCGUGAGUAAGUUAGCUUAAUAUAUUGUUGAUAUAUUUGGAUAUAUAAUUAAACUCAAACAAUUCCAUGAGUAUAAGUCAAAAAACAAUUUUAUAAAAAGAUAAAAAAAGGGUUGUAAAUCUUACCACGCUAUUAGAAAAACAUUCAGAUGAACCUUUUGCAUGUGUUUAAUUCAAAUGUCUAUGAUAAGUCGUGAGUAAGUUAACUUAAUAAUAUUGUUGCUUUAUUUGGAAAUAUAACUAAACUUAAACAAUUCCAUGAGUAUUAGUUAAAAACAACUUAUUCUAAAAAUAUUUUUAAAUAAAAAAGAGCUGUAAAUCUUGCCACGCUAAUAGAAAAACAUCCAGAUGAAUCUUUUGCAUGUGUUUAAAUCAAAUGUCUAUGAUAAGUCGUGUGUAAGUUAGUUAAUAA